GACGAACGCUGGCGGCGUGCCUAGUACAUGCAAGUUGAGCGCUGAAGGUUGGUACUUGUACCAACUGGAUGAGCAGCGAACGGGUGAGUAACGCGUGGGGAAUCUGCCUUUGAGCGGGGGACAACAUUUGGAAACGAAUGCUAAUACCGCAUAAAAACUUUAAACACAAGUUUUAAGUUUGAAAGAUGCAAUUGCAUCACUCAAAGAUGAUCCCGCGUUGUAUUAGCUAGUUGGUGAGGUAAAGGCUCACCAAGGCGAUGAUACAUAGCCGACCUGAGAGGGUGACCGGCCACAUUGGGACUGAGACACGGCCCAAACUCCUACGGGAGGCAGCAGUAGGGAAUCUUCGGCAAUGGACGAAAGUCUGACCGAGCAACGCCGCGUGAGUGAAGAAGGUUUUCGGAUCGUAAAACUCUGUUGGUAGAGAAGAACGUUGGUGAGAGUGGAAAGCUCAUCAAGUGACGGUAACUACCCAGAAAGGGACGGCUAACUACGUG
rnacentral:rRNA from 1 species